rnacentral:lncRNA from 10 species
GCUGACUCUCUUUUCGGACUCAGCCCGCCUGCACCCAGGUGAAAUAAACAGCCUCGUUGCUCACACAAAGCCUGUUUGGUGGUCUCUUCACACGGACGCGCAUGAAAUUUGGUGCCGUGACUCGGAUCGGGGGACCUCCCUUGGGAGAUCAAUCCCCUGUCCUCCUGCUCUUUGCUCCGUGAGAAAGAUCCACCUACGACCUCAGGUCCUCAGACCAACCAGCCCAAGAAACAUCUCACCAAUUUCAAAUCCGGUAAGCGGCCUCUUUUUACUCUGUUCUCCAACCUCCCUCACUAUCCCUCAACCUCUUUCUCCUUUCAAUCUUGGCGCCACACUUCAAUCUCUCCCUUCUCUUAAUUUCAAUUCCUUUCAUUCUCUGGUAGAGACAAAAGAGACAUGUUUUAUCCGUGAACCCAAAACUCCGGCGCCGGUCACGGACUGGGAAGGCAGUCUUCCCUUGGUGUUUAAUCAUUGCAGGGACGCCUCUCUGAUUUCACGUUUCAGACCACGCAGGGAUGCCUGCCUUGGUCCUUCACCCUUAGCGGCAAGUCCCGCUUUCCUGGGGCAGGGGCAAGUACCCCUCAACCCCUUCUCCUUCACCCUUAGCGGCAAGUCCCGCUUUUCUGGGGCAGGGGCAAGUACCCCUCAACCCCUUCUCCUUCACCCUUAGCAGCAAGUCCCGCUUUCCUAGGGGGCAAGAACCCCCCAAUCGCUUAUUUUCACGCCCCAACCUCUUAUCUCUGUGCCCCAAUCCCUUAUUUCCACGCCCCAAUCUCUUAUCUCUGCGCCCCAAUCCCUUAUUUCCGCGCCCCAACCCUUUCUCUGCUUUUCUGGAGGGGAAGAAACCCCCACCCCUUCUCCGUGUCUCUACUCUUUUCUCUGGGCUUGCCUCCUUCACUAUGGGCAAGCUUCCACCUUCCAUUCCUUUCUUCUCCCUUAGCAUGUAUUCUUAAGAACUUAAAAUCUCUUCAAUUCUCACCUGACCUAAAAUCUAAGCGUCUUAUUUUCUUCUGCAAUGCCACUUGACCCCAAUACAAACUCAACAGUAGUUCCAAAUAGCCAGAAAAUGGCACUUUCAAUUUUUCCACCCUACAAGAUCUAAAUAAUUCUUGGCGUAAAAUGGGCAAAUGGUGUGAGGUGCCUGACGUCCAGGCAUUCUUUUACACAUCAGUCCCUUCCUAGUCUCUGUGCCCAGUGCAACUCGUCCCAAAUCUUCCUUCUUUCCCUCCCGCCUGUCCCCUCAGUACCAACCCCAAGCGUCACUGAGUCUUUCUAAUCUUCCUUUUCUACAGACCCAUCUGACCUCUCCCUUCCUCCCCAGGCUGCUCCUUGCCAGGCCGAGCUAGGUCCCAAUUCUUCCUCAGCCUCUGCUCCUCCACCCUAUAAUCUUUUUAUCACCUCCCCUCCUCACACCUGCUCCGGCUUACAGUUUCAUUCCGUGACUAGCCCUCCCCGACCUGCCCAGCAAUUUAUUCUUAAAAAGGUGGCUGGAGCUAAACGCAUAGUCAAGGUUAAUGCUCCUUUUUCUUUAUCCCAAAUCAGAUAGUGUUUAGGCUCUUUUUCAUCAAAUAUAAAAAUCUAGCCCAGUUCAUGGCUCGUUUGGCAGCAACCCUAAGACACUUUACAGCCCUAGCCCCUAAAAGGUCAAAAGGCCAUCUUAUUCUCAAUAUACAUUUUAUUACCCAAUCUGCUCCCGACAUUAAAUAAAACUCCAAAAACUGGAAUCUGGCCCUCAAACCCCACAACAGGACUUAAUUAACCUCACCUUCAAGGUGUGAAAUAACAGAAAAAAGUUGCAAUUCCUUGCCUCCACUGUGAGACAAACCCCAGCCACAUCUCCAGCACACAAGAACUUCCAAACGCCUGAACUGUAGCAGCCAGACGUUUCUCCAGAACCUCCUCCCCCAGGAACUUGCUACACAUGCCGGAAAUCUGGCCACUGGGCCAAGGAACGCCCGCAGCCCGGGAUUCCUCCUAAGCCGCGUCCCAUCUGUGUGGGACCCCACUGAAAAUCGGACUGUUCAACUCACCUGGCAGCCACUCCCAGAGCUCCUGGAACUCUGGCCCAAGGUUCUCUGACUGACUCCUUCUUGGCUUACUGGCUGAAGACUGACGCUGCCUGAUCGCCUCAGAAGCCCCGCAGACCAUCAUGGACGCCGAGCUUUAGCCCGCCUGCACCCAGGUGAAAUAAACAGCCUUGUUGCUCACACAAAGCCUGUUUGGUGGUCUCUUCACACAGACGCGCAUGAAAGGGAAGACAUACAAAAACAAGGCCUCUGAGGUAGGUACUACUGAGACAGCCAGGUGGGAAGGACUCCUUGGCAAAACUCCAACCAGCCUGUACACUGGGAGGAAUGUGCACUGGGAUGGAGCCAUAGAAGUUUGUGUCGUUUGCAGUGGGGAGGAGCCUGGUCCCUCCUCUUCCUGUGAGGAACCUGGAAUUCAAUCUGUGAGGAACUUCUUGAAAGACCCAUCAAUUCUUCAAUAGAAAGCAUCAAAGGACAAUUUACACCCUAAGACUGAACCCCUGACCUCAAAAUCUUUCCCUUGCUAUGUUCACCAACCUCAACAGAAAUAUUAGGAUUCUUACCUGAUCCUAGCCAAGCCCCCUCCCUCAUCUCCCAUUAAAGGGUCCAUCUUCAACCAAACUUAAGUCUCAAUAAAUAUCUGGACAUUGUCCUUCCAACUCUGGGAAGCUGCUAAGACUCUGUCCUUACUGCAGAAGAAAAAACAGCCUUGUACCCUGGUCUUCUCAACAGGUUGUUCUGGAGAUGUUCUGGGGAGACUGCAUUAAACACAGCUUCGCACCAUUGAAUAAACUCAGCAACAAGCCAAUGCAUAAAAGUAAUCUAUGCUUCAGGUCACAGAAGCUUCAAGGGGAAAAAAACAGAAUACUCUAGGGCCAUUGUUCACAAACUCAUCUGAAAACAUCCUGGAAAAAUUUUCCCAAACACAUGGAAAGAAAGAGAGGAAAAAAGAAGAUAUCUGAAUAAUGUGGACUAGAAUAAAGAGCUGCCAGGAGCUGUUUAUUUAAAAACAGUACUUUCUUCUCUGGCUGAGUCCCUGGUAUUCUCUGCUGCAAUCUGUAGCUGUAGAAUUUUGAAGAAUGCAAUUAAAUUCAAAUGGUUUGAUGAGUAAUA